rnacentral:piRNA from 1 species
CUGUGAACCUACCACUGGAUGUAG